GUGGGCGUAGCUCAGUCGGUAGAGCCCCGGAUUGUGAUUCCGGUUGUCGUGGGUUCGAUCCCCAUCGCUCACC
rnacentral:tRNA from 1 species